UUCCUGACGUUAAUGGUUUUUAAUUUCAAGCUUUGAAUUUUGAAUUUACAAUUGAAACUUCUAGGGCGGAAGUUAAAUGGAAAUGAAAGCUGUUCUCUAAAUUCUAAACUUUUUUUUAAAUGAUACAGUAAAAUCAUUUCAAUUUCAGAAAUUCUGAGAUGAUCAAGAUCUGCAAUUGUGUGGACCUGUGUAGUUGAAGACCUCUCACCGUGCGUCCAUCUCUUACCCUACUUCCAAACCAGUGCAGAUCAUCAGCAGGAGUGUGGAUGUGCCGGAUGGCGUGAGCGUACCUUGGAAUCACCCACCGAGAGAUUCGAGGCACAGUCGCCUUCGGCUGGGGACAGUUAUCGCCCGACAUCCGCCGCCGCUGCCUGCAAGACAUGCUGGCUGAAACCCCAGCACUCCUGGAAUCUCUCAAACUGUCAGCCGCAACAGGAAGAUAAAUAAAAGGCAGGGGGGGGGGGGCACGAAAGCACAAUGGCUAACUGAAAAACUCACCCCUGCGAAUGGCCGAUUGGGAGCCGGCCUGCGGUGCGCGCUUUGGCAGGCAGCGGCACGACAAUGGCGUUUCUGAAAUAACAUAAGAGAGCCUGAGCUACGGUGAAAUGCUGGUGGUUAGCAUUGUCUUUGUAGCGAUUCUUUGACUUCCCUAUGACAAAUCCCAGUAACACAGACACUUGGCAGACCAGAGUGGGACACUUUGUGCUAUAGAGGGUCCUGCACAUGAGAAGCCAAAAAGAACCUUUAAAAAACGAAGCAAGAUGUAAUGCAGCUUUUUUAUGCUCAUUCUGGGCCUGUGGUAGCUGCAGUGGCAAGGAUUUGUAUCCCAGCUACACUGAAAGGACUGCUGAAUUGGAUGGAGCUUUAAAGUAGAGCAAGAAAGCUCUGGAAAAUCGGCCCUCAAAGGCACAUUUCAACUGGAAAGCGUUUCUUUUAAGCUGUCACUUCUUGGUAGUUGACAAUCCUAUUAUGGCACCAACUCAUUGUAAUCAAGAGGGAGAUGAGAUAUAUCGGCAAAAACACAUUCAUCGGACCAUCUAAGGUACAGAGAACUUUGUUGUUGUUCUGUGUUUGCGGGCAAACGUAGUGCUGAGCAACCAGAUCACCCUAUUUGCAUUGACAUGUGAGUGAUGCAAACAGAAUCCAGAAGCCAAUUUCCUUUUCCUUUUUUUCUGUCCCUGCAUCCCUCCACUUGCCGGCACCGCUUUAAAAAGACGUAAUGGAAAAUAGGUUUUAUGGCUUUUCUUCUCCCUCGUUUUUUUAGAGGUCAGAGAAAUGGAGCCUUCAAAAGAAAAUCCUGCGGAAGUAACGAUCCCUCACCUCAUCAACUCUUCUGCUGAAGUCUAAAUAUGCUUUGCGCUGAAAUUGCACCCAAAGCCAUAUAUAAAGCGGUUGGGAAGGGAUUGUGAACGGCAAGUCCAUAUGCUGCCAUUUAUUUGCCUGAUAAUAAAAGGAUUGUAUUUCUUUCUUCGUCACCCUCUGCACAAUGGGCAGCUUUUGAAGCAGAGACAGAUGAUGGAGUGGUAUCGGCUACCAACGUAGUAGUAGAGAUGUCCUAAAAUGUAUCACUGCUGACAGUAAUUCAAAGUGCAUUGAAUGUGCAUUGUAGGUAAAAGGUGUACACGUGGUCAUUUGGCAAGUUGCUGUUUUCCCUUUUAUUGUAAUUCUCCCAGCAAUGAGUUCAACCAAAUGUAAUUACCUGGAUUGUAUUAAUUAAACCUUAUUUUUUUGCCAAAUA